UGCUUCCUCAUCUUCUUCUUCCUCGUCCUCUUCGUUUUCAUCAUCCUCAGCACCCUCAUCCUCCUCUUCUUCACCUCCCUCGUCUUCAUCAUCCUCGUCAUCAUCGUCAUCCUCGUCGUCUUCAUCUUGCUCAUCACCAUCUUCAUCUUCAUCCUCUUCUCCAUUCUCUUCCACCCCACCUGCGCCACCUUCGGGUGUUUUCUUAGAGUUGCUCCUGUUGUUGGAAUUGUUGCCAUAUCCACCUCCAUCUUCGGAUGACAACUCGUCUUCACCCUCUCCCUCUUCACCCUCCCCGGAUACACCAUCUCCUUCGUCAUCGUCG
rnacentral:lncRNA from 1 species